rnacentral:rRNA from 1 species
GACGAACGCUGGCGGCGUGCUUAACACAUGCAAGUCGAACGGAAAGGCCCUGCUUUUGUGGGGUGCUCGAGUGGCGAACGGGUGAGUAACACGUGAGUAACCUGCCCUUGACUUUGGGAUAACUUCAGGAAACUGGGGCUAAUACCGGAUAGGAGCUCCUGCUGCAUGGUGGGGGUUGGAAAGUUUCGGCGGUUGGGGAUGGACUCGCGGCUUAUCAGCUUGUUGGUGGGGUAGUGGCUUACCAAGGCUUUGACGGGUAGCCGGCCUGAGAGGGUGACCGGCCACAUUGGGACUGAGAUACGGCCCAGGCUCCUACGGGAGGCAGCAGUGGGGAAUAUUGCACAAUGGGCGGAAGCCUGAUGCAGCAACGCCGCGUGCGGGAUGACGGCCUUCGAGUUGUAAACCGCUUUCGCCUGUGACGAAGCGUGAGUGACGGUAAUGGGUAAAGAAGCACCGGCUAACUACGUG